rnacentral:rRNA from 1 species
AUUGAACGCUGGCGGCAUGCUUUACACAUGCAAGUCGGACGGCAGCACAGAGAAGCUUGCUUCUUGGGUGGCGAGUGGCGAACGGGUGAGUAACAUAUCGGAACGUACCGAGUAGUGGGGGAUAACUGAUCGAAAGAUCAGCUAAUACCGCAUACGUCUUGAGAGGGAAAGCAGGGGACCUUCGGGCCUUGCGCUAUUCGAGCGGCCGAUAUCUGAUUAGCUAGUUGGUGGGGUAAAGGCCUACCAAGGCGACGAUCAGUAGCGGGUCUGAGAGGAUGAUCCGCCACACUGGGACUGAGACACGGCCCAGACUCCUACGGGAGGCAGCAGUGGGGAAUUUUGGACAAUGGGCGCAAGCCUGAUCCAGCCAUGCCGCGUGUCUGAAGAAGGCCUUCGGGUUGUAAAGGACUUUUGUCAGGGAAGAAAAGGCUGUUGCUAAUAUCAGCGGCUGAUGACGGUACCUGAAGAAUAAGCACCGGCUAACUACGUGCCAGCAGCCGCGGUAAUACGUAGGGUGCGAGCGUUAAAUCGAAUUACUGGGCGUAAAGCGAGCGCAGACGGUUACUUAAGCAGGAUGUGAAAUCCCCGGGCUCACCUGGGAACUGCGUUCUGAACUGGGUGGCUAGAGUGUGUCAGGGGGAGGUAGAAUUCCACGUGUAGCAGUGAAAUGCGUAGAGAUGUGGAGGAAUACCGAUGGCGAAGGCAGCCUCCUGGGAUAACACUGACGUUCAUGCUCGAAAGCGUGGGUAGCAAACAGGAUUAGAUACCCUGGUAGUCCACGCCCUAAACGAUGUCAAUUAGCUGUUGGGCAACUUGAUUGUUCAGUAGCGUAGCUAACGCGUGAAAUUGACCGCCUGGGGAGUACGGUCGCAAGAUUAAAACUCAAAGGAAUUGACGGGGACCCGCACAAGCGGUGGAUGAUGUGGAUUAAUUCGAUGCAACGCGAAGAACCUUACCUGGUCUUGACAUGUACGGAAUCCUCCAGAGACGGAGGAGUGCCUUCGGGAACCGUAACACAGGUGCUGCAUGGCUGUCGUCAGCUCGUGUCGUGAGAUGUUGGGUUAAGUCCCGCAACGAGCGCAACCCUUGUCAUUAGUUGCCAUCAUUCAGUUGGGCACUCUAAUGAGACUGCCGGUGACAAGCCGGAGGAAGGUGGGAAUGACGUCAAGUCCUCAUGGCCCUUAUGACCAGGGCUUCACACGUCAUACAAUGGUCGGUACAGAGGGUAGCCAAGCCGCGAGGUGGAGCCAAUCUCACAAAACCGAUCGUAGUCCGGAUUGCACUCUGCAACUCGAGUGCAUGAAGUCGGAAUCGCUAGUAAUCGCAGGUCAGCAUACUGCGGUGAAUACGUUCCCGGGUCU